rnacentral:lncRNA from 1 species
CAGCCUUCCUGCAUACCUUCAUCCAAGAGAGAUGGCCCCAGUUUUGGAAGGAGCCACCGUGCCAGGACCUGUCUGCAGGGCUGAGAGCUGUGAUGAUGAGGAAGCCAUGGAGGAGAAGCAGCUCCUUGGGGCAGGACCAGAGAAUCCUUCUACAUGGACCGCGCAAUCUGGCUCCUCCUUACCAAGUUAAGCACCAAGUUUUGCAGUGCCAGCUGGCUGCUGUAAUUGGCUCUCUCGUGGCGUUAUUCACAGCUCUUCCCUCUUUCUUUCCCAGCUACCUUCCAUCUUGCUUGUUAAAAGCAA